UACGUAGGGGGCAAGCGUUGUCCGGAUUUAUUGGGCGUAAAGAGCGUGUAGGCGGCUAUACAGGUCCGCUGUGAAAACUCGAGGCUCAACCUCGAGACGUCGGUGGAAACCGUGUGGCUAGAGUCCGGAAGAGGAGAGUGGAAUUCCCGGUGUAGCGGUGAAAUGCGCAGAUAUCGGGAAGAACACCCGUGGCGAAGGCGGCUCUCUGGGACGGUACUGACGCUGAGACGCGAAAGCGUGGGGAGCGAACAGG
rnacentral:rRNA from 1 species